CUUAGAGUUUGAUCCUGGCUCAGGAUGAACGCUGGCGGCGUGCCUAAUACAUGCAAGUCGAACGAAUCUCUUUUAGAGAUGAGUGGCGAACGGGUGAGUAAUACAUAGGUAACCUGCCCCUGUGCGGGGGAUAACAGGAGGAAACUCCUGCUAAUACCGCAUAGCCAUGAGCACCGCAUGGAGCUCAUGCCAAAUAUCCUUUAUGGGAUAGCGCAGGGAUGGACCUAUGGCGCAUUAGCUGGUUGGCGGGGCAACGGCCCACCAAGGCAACGAUGCGUAGCCGGCCUGAGAGGGCGGACGGCCACAUUGGGACUGAGACACGGCCCAGACUCCUACGGGAGGCAGCAGUAGGGAAUUUUCGGCAAUGGGGGAAACCCUGACCGAGCAACGCCGCGUGAGCGAAGAAGGCCUUCGGGUCGUAAAGCUCUGUUGUAAAGGAAGAACGGCGCAUACAGGAAAUGGUAUGCGAGUGACGGUACUUUACCAGAAAGCCACGGCUAACUACGUGCCAGCAGCCGCGGUAAUACGUAGGUGGCGAGCGUUAUCCGGAAUCAUUGGGCGUAAAGAGGGGGCAGGCGGCCGCAAGGGCCUGUGGUGAAAGCCCGAAGCUAAACUUCGGUAAGCCAUGGAAACCGGGCGGCUAGAGUGCGGAAGAGGAUCGUGGAAUUCCAUGUGUAGCGGUGAAAUGCGUAGAUAUAUGGAGGAACACCAGUGGCGAAGGCGACGGUCUGGGCCGCAACUGACGCUCAUUCCCGAAAGCGUGGGGAGCAAAUAGGAUUAGAUACCCUAGUAGUCCACGCCGUAAACGAUGGUCACUAAGUGUCGGGGGUCAAACCCCGGUGCUGCAGUCAACGCAAUAAGUGACCCGCCUGAGUAGUACGUUCGCAAGAAUGAAACUCAAAUGAAUUGACGGAAGGGCGAA
rnacentral:rRNA from 1 species